rnacentral:rRNA from 1 species
AGAGUUUGAUCAUGGCUCAGGACGAACGCUGGCGGCGUGCUUAACACAUGCAAGUCGAACGGAAAGGCCCUUCGGGGUACUCGAGUGGCGAACGGGUGAGUAACACGUGGGUGAUCUGCCCUGCACUUUGGGAUAAGCCUGGGAAACUGGGUCUAAUACCGAAUACUUCCUGCUGGUUGCAUGACUGGUGGGGGAAAGCUUUUGCGGUGUGGGAUGGGCCCGCGGCCUAUCAGCUUGUUGGUGGGGUCACGGCCUACCAAGGCUCCGACGGGUAGCCGGCCUGAGAGGGUGUCCGGCCACACUGGGACUGAGAUACGGCCCAGACUCCUACGGGAGGCAGCAGUGGGGAAUAUUGCACAAUGGGCGCAAGCCUGAUGCAGCGACGCCGCGUGGGGGAUGACGGCCUUCGGGUUGUAAACCUCUUUCACCAUCGACGAAGGUCCGGGUUUUCUCGGAUUGACGGUAGGUGGAGAAGAAGCACCGGCCAACUACGUGCCAGCAGCCGCGGUAAUACGUAGGGUGCGAGCGUUGUCCGGAAUUACUGGGCGUAAAGAGCUCGUAGGUGGUUUGUCGCGUUGUUCGUGAAAACUCACGGCUUAACUGUGAGCGUGCGGGCGAUACGGGCAGACUGGAGUACUGCAGGGGAGACUGGAAUUCCUGGUGUAGCGGUGGAAUGCGCAGAUAUCAGGAGGAACACCGGUGGCGAAGGCGGGUCUCUGGGCAGUAACUGACGCUGAGGAGCGAAAGCGUGGGGAGCGAACAGGAUUAGAUACCCUAGUAGUCC